rnacentral:rRNA from 1 species
UACGGAGGGUGCAAGCGUUGUUCGGAAUUAUUGGGCGUAAAGGGCAGGUAGGUGGUCUUAUAAGUCUACUGUGAAAUCCCCGAGCUUAACUCGGGAAGUGCGGUGGAUACUGUAAGACUAGAGUGCCAGAGGGGUUCGUGGAAUUCCUGGUGUAGCGGUGAAAUGCGUAGAUAUCAGGAGGAACACCAGAGGCGAAGGCGGCGAACUGGACGGCAACUGACACUCAACUGCGAAAGCGUGGGGAGCAAACAGG